rnacentral:rRNA from 1 species
AUGAACGCUGGCGGCGUGCCUAAUACAUGCAAGUCGAGCGAACAGACGAGGAGCUUGCUCCUCUGACGUUAGCGGCGGACGGGUGAGUAACACGUGGAUAACCUACCUAUAAGACUGGGAUAACUUCGGGAAACCGGAGCUAAUACCGGAUAAUAUAUUGAACCGCAUGGUUCAAUAGUGAAAGACGGUUUUGCUGUCACUUAUAGAUGGAUCCGCGCCGCAUUAGCUAGUUGGUAAGGUAACGGCUUACCAAGGCAACGAUGCGUAGCCGACCUGAGAGGGUGAUCGGCCACACUGGAACUGAGACACGGUCCAGACUCCUACGGGAGGCAGCAGUAGGGAAUCUUACGCAAUGGGCGAAAGCCUGACGGAGCAAAGCCGCGUGAGUGAUGAAGGUCUUCGGAUCGUAAAACUCUGUUAUUAGGGAAGAACAAAUGUGUAAGUAACUAUGCACGUCUUGACGGUACCUAAUCAGAAAGCCACGGCUAACUACGUG